AAUCCAAUUACUCCACAGGCUUCACGUUUCCAGAACCGGCCUGCUCAUCCCGGCCCGUGACACUCCGGACGCUCGCGCGGCUCGCCGCCGGCGCGGUCACCGGGGCGUGGCCCUCGGCGACGACGGCCACCGGCUCGUUGGGAACUCGCCCACUUCCGCGCCGAUCGGCGACGGACCGCUGCUCCAGCUUGGCGUGCUCUGCCCAAAUCUGUGUGCCUCUCUCGCCGCGGCUCAGGCGGUGCCUGGGACGAAGACAUCCAUCCGUGAUUUUUCUGGGCAGGGUUAGGGUUUCACUUGAGGUUUUGUUUUUCCCCCGGAUACUCUGAUGGCGAAUCAUCGGAUAAAAGAAUUCCCGGUGAUCGAGGUGACCAUGUGCCCCGUCAACGAUCUGACCGGCCUUCUGAAUCGAUCACAGUGUCAAUUGUCAGGUAAGCAAGCUUUGAGCUUUCCAACAUUUGGUUUCUGGAUCUCUCUCUCUCUCUCUCUCUCUCUCUCUCUCUCUCUCUCUCUGUAUUUUUUCCCCUUCCUGCAGUUUUGAUUGUUCCAAUAGUUGACAAAUGCUAGGUUAAUUAUGGCUGAUCUUGUAGAUGUCAACAGUCUCUUGUCUCGGUAUAGUCCUUUUCACUUUCACUUUGGUCAGCACUAUAGGAGCGUAGUUGAUUUUUAAAUGCUGUACAUAGUCCAUUGUACAGUAUUUGCUUAGAUGCAUGCAUGGUAAUACAAGAUCGUUUUAGUUCUGGUCAACUCGAGAUUUCCUGGGAAUACAUAGGACACAACAACGACAAAAUCAAAUAUUAUCAUAUAAAAUUACUCUUAAGGAACAUGUAACUGAUGAGUCGAGUGAUGAAUUGGAUGGACGCUUUUCCUUUUAAUGUGAUCAUAAUUUCUUUGUA